rnacentral:rRNA from 1 species
UACGUAGGGUGCAAGCGUUAAUCGGAAUUACUGGGCGUAAAGCGUGCGCAGGCGGUUUUGUAAGACUGUCGUGAAAUCCCCGGGCUUAACCUGGGAGUUGCGAUGGUGACUGCAAGGCUAGAGUUUGGCAGAGGGGGGUAGAAUUCCACGUGUAGCAGUGAAAUGCGUAGAGAUGUGGAGGAACACCGAUGGCGAAGGCAGCCCCCUGGGUCAAAACUGACGCUCAUGCACGAAAGCGUGGGGAGCAAACAGG